GGGGUGCAGCAGGCGCGAAAACUUUGCAAUGCGGGAAACCGUGACAAGGGAACUCUGAGUGCCCGUUAAAUCGGGCUGUCCAUCGGUUUAAAUAACCGGUGAAGAAAGGGCCGGGCAAGACCGGUGCCAGCCGCCGCGGUAAUACCGGCGGCUCGAGUGGUGGCCACUAUUACUGGGCUUAAAGCGUUCGUAGCUGGUCUGUUAAGUCUCUGGGGAAAUCUUCCGGCUUAACCGGAAGGCGUCUCAGGGAUACUGGCAGACUAGGGACCGGGAGAGGUGAGAGGUACUCCAGGGGUAGGAGUGAAAUCCUGUAAUCCUUGGGGGACCACCUGUGGCGAAGGCGUCUCACCAGAACGGCUCCGACAGUGAGGGACGAAAGCUGGGGGAGCAAACCGGAUUAGAUACCCGGGUAGUCCCAGCUGUAAACGAUGUGCGUUAGGUGUAUCGGUGACCACGAGUCACCGAGGUGCCGAAGAGAAAUCGUGAAACGUACCGCCUGGGAAGUACGGUCGCAAGGCUGAAACUUAAAGGAAUUGGCGGGGGAGCACAAGGGCGAAUCGC
rnacentral:rRNA from 1 species